rnacentral:rRNA from 1 species
UACGUAGGGUGCAAGCGUUGUCCGGAAUUAUUGGGCGUAAAGAGCUCGUAGGCGGUGUGUCACGUCGGCCGUGAAAACCUGGGGCUCAACCCCGGGCCUGCAGCCGAUACGGGCAAGCUAGAAUUCGGUAGGGGAGACUGGAAUUCCUGGUGUAGCGGCGAAAUGCGCAGAUAUCAGGAGGAACACCGGUGGCGAAGGCGGGUCUCUGGGCCGAUAUUGACGCUGAGGAGCGAAAGCGUGGGGAGCAAACAGG